rnacentral:piRNA from 1 species
UGAUUUCCAAAGCCACUGUAUGGUGAGAAAUU